CAGCCGCCGCGGUAAUACGUAGGGUGCAAGCGUUAAUCGGAAUUACUGGGCGUAAAGCGUGCGCAGGCGGUUUGCUAAGACAGAUGUGAAAUCCCCGGGCUCAACCUGGGACCUGCAUUUGUGACUGUAUAGCUAGAGUACGGUAGAGGGGGAUGGAAUUCCGCGUGUAGCAGUGAAAUGCGUAGAUAUGCGGAGGAACACCGAUGGCGAAGGCAAUCCCCUGGACCUGUACUGACGCUCAUGCACGAAAGCGUGGGGAGCAAACAGGAUUAGAUACCCGUGUAGUCCCUGUCUCUUAUAC
rnacentral:rRNA from 1 species